UCAAUACUCCCUCCGUUCCAUAAUUCUUGUCGAAAUCUUACAUGUAUCUAGACACUUUUUAGGAAUAGAUACAUCAAUUUUGGGGCAAAUUUAAGACAAGAAUUAUGAAACAGAGGGAGUACAAU
rfam:Brachypodium distachyon strain Bd21 chromosome 2, whole genome shotgun sequence.